rnacentral:rRNA from 1 species
AUUGAACGCUGGCGGCAUGCCUUACACAUGCAAGUCGAACGGCAGCACGGGGGCAACCCUGGUGGCGAGCGGCGAACGGGUGAGUAAUGCAUCGGAACGUGCCCAGUUGUGGGGGAUAGCCCGGCGAAAGCCGGAUUAAUACCGCAUACGACCUACGGGUGAAAGCGGGGGAUCGCAAGACCUCGCGCUAUUGGAGCGGCCGAUGUCGGAUUAGCUAGUUGGUGGGGUAAAAGCCUACCAAGGCUACGAUCCGUAGCUGGUCUGAGAGGACGACCAGCCACACUGGGACUGAGACACGGCCCAGACUCCUACGGGAGGCAGCAGUGGGGAAUUUUGGACAAUGGGCGCAAGCCUGAUCCAGCCAUGCCGCGUGCGGGAAGAAGGCCUUCGGGUUGUAAACCGCUUUUGUCAGGGAAGAAACGGUUUGGGCUAAUACCCCGAACUAAUGACGGUACCUGAAGAAUAAGCACCGGCUAACUACGUGCCAGCAGCCGCGGUAAUACGUAGGGUGCAAGCGUUAAUCGGAAUUACUGGGCGUAAAGCGUGCGCAGGCGGCUUUGCAAGACAGAUGUGAAAUCCCCGGGCUCAACCUGGGAACUGCAUUUGUGACUGCAAGGCUGGAGUGCGGCAGAGGGGGAUGGAAUUCCGCGUGUAGCAGUGAAAUGCGUAGAGAUGUGGAGGAACACCGAUGGCGAAGGCAGCCCCCUGGGAUGUGACUGACGCUCAUGUACGAAAGCGUGGGGAGCA